CAAAGCCCCCCAGAACAUAGUUGUAUAUUCUUUGUUGUGGGUCCUUCUAGUUGUGGCGUGUGGGACGCUGCCUCAGCUUGGUUUGAUGAGCAGUGCUAUGUCCGAGCCCAGGAUUCGAACCAACUAAACACUGGGCCGCCUGCAGCUGAGCGUGUGAACUUAACCACUCGGCCACGGGGCCAGCCCCUGUUUUCUUUUAUUUUUAAACUUAGAAGGUUGUUGCCAGUCCAGAGAUUUAGUAGAGUUUUCUUCUUGUUUUUUUAAUCAUAUAAACUAUUUUAAAUGCAAAACACACACUCCCAAAGUCUGGGGAUAUACCCAUCAGCUCAAAGAAAGGCAAAGUAAUGCUGCAUUAAGAAGUUAAAGCUGGCCUCUGUUAGGAACAGCUGGACUGCGCACAUCAAUGAGAGUAUUUGAAAGGAACACCUGUGACUGUCAACGAGCUGCUGAUCAUGAAGAGUGGGGUGCCUGGGAGGAGUUGUUAGAGAACCCUUCUCCUGACUGGAAAGAUGGACUUCCCCACUGAUCUUGAGGCCUCUUCGUGUUCUCCAUGCUCUUCUUUUUUCUAAGUUUCUAGAAGAAAUUUGUAGCAACCGUGGAUUCAAGGAAUGAUGACUUAAGACCUCUCCUAAGAUUGACAGAUAGCUCUGGGUUGCAGAAUGCACAGUUCCUCAUUUUCAGAAGGAACUGAGAGAAACGAAAGAGUUAGAGACCUGGAGAAAGCUGACCGGGAGCACCCAGGAGUCUCUUCGCGUCUCCCAUAAUAAACAGAAGCAGGAUGAAGUUUACAACCUGCACAGAUGGACUGGAGCAGACCACAUAGCUGGAAUUUAGCACCCAGGGACUGGGAUAACCUCACUAGCUCUGUGUCCUUGAACAUGCCCCCACAAAGACCUCUGUAGAGACAAGACCAUAUUAGAUCAUACUUGAAUGAUAAGCAAAUAUUAAUGCCAAGGACUCACUAAGAAUAAAAUCAGACAGACACGUGAAUUUGCUGGAGAGAAUUAUAAAAUCAGAGGCUGAAGGAGAUUGGCGAUGAGGACCUCACAAUUCAAAGUUCAUUCAAGACAUCUUUGAUACAUUCCCAAACACAAGGUCAUCUGGAUGCCUGCAUCUUGGGGCUCACUAAAGAGCAUGUUAAUCUCCUGGAAGUGCUUGUUGGAAAUGUAGAUGCCUGCUGACCCUGAGAAGCUCCUGGAGACGAUGCUGCUGCAGGUGGGCUGAGCCCAUUGUCUGCGUGUUACUGCCAUCACGGCGUCACACUGGUUGACAAGUGCAGGUCUUGUGCCACUCAGAAAGAAAGUCGUGUUUUCUCUCCCACUGAUCUCUCACCAAGAACUAUGAGUAAAGACUAAAUAAAAGGAACAGGUCUAAAGAAAAACAACACAGAAUAGACAAACCCCCAGUUUUAUAUGGAUGUACUUCUGAAAGGUUGUAUAUAAAUCAGAUUUCUGUGAGUUAAUCUUUACUUUCCCUUCACUUAAAUCUCAACAUGUUAUAGUCACUUUUGAUUUUCAUGUGGGAGUGACUGCCACAUUCACUUUAUUUUUCAUCUCCACGUAGCCUCCCCACCAUGAACUUAACUACCUGUGAAUGGACUAAGGAGAAUAAGCAAGAGCAUGGAGGGCCAUCUGCCUCCCGGCAGCAGAGCCCUUCCUCACUGGGGGCCCCCCUCCCACACACUGACAGCUGGGGUCUCAUCUCUCUCGGGGUCACACUGCUGUGGGUUUCCUGCAUCUGUGUGUGGGAUUUGCGUUCUGCCCAAGGCCCUGGCUCUCUCUGCGCUCUGCCCCCGCUGACUGUUCCCUGGCUGACCUGUGAAGUUGUGGCUGGAGACCCAGAAUGACCUAGCCCUUGCCUAUUCCUCAGGAUACACCACCUGUCAGACCAGUUGCCCUGGUUGGGCUGGUCUCCUGUCUGGCUCCACUCUGGGUCAGUACCAUCUACUGACAAGAGGGCCCAGAAGCCAUUCCCAGUUGGAGCUCAUGCUCAUGUGCAUGCUUGGCAGCCAGCAACUCCUACCAGUGUUUGCUACCAGAGUGGGUAAAAUACACGCUCACAAAGAAAGACAGACAACCAAAAAGAUUUUGUCCCCCAACAAUGGUCUCCCCUGAGAUGCUCUAUCUCUUCUUCCUCCUACCUCUCUGCCCUCAAACCCCACAAAUAUGUCUGUCUUGUCCACGCAAAACCCACUGGAUCCUAUUCUCCUAUUUUUUUACUUGUCUGUCACAAAAUUCUGGGAAACAAAGAAUAAACCAGAUGUCUUACUGCUUAGAGAAGAAUCGCCUUGACGGACCAGAAACCGUUCAAGACCGCUGGUCCCUUCCUCAGAAGAACACAUUUUCCUGUCUCCUCAGUUCUGGC
ensembl:lncRNA